ACAGGUUCCUCAAGUUCCUUACGGGAGGGCAGCAGUAGGAAUCUCGGCAUGACGAAAGUCUGACGAGCAACCCGCGAGGAGGAAGAAGGUUUCGAAUCGUAAAGCUCUGUUGUAAGAGAAAGACAAGGGUGAGAGUAACUGUCACCCCUGGACGGUAUCUAGCCAGAAAGGCCCCGGCUAACUACGUGCCAGCAGCGCGGUAAUACGUAGGUGGGCAAGCGUGUCCGGAUUUAUUGGGCGUAAGCGAGCGCAGGCGGUUUCUUAAGUCUGAUGUGAAAGCCCCCGGCUCAACCGGGGAGGGUCAUUGGAAACUGGGAGACUUGAGUGCAGAAGAGGAGAGUGGAAUUCCAUGUGUAGCGGGGAAAUGCGUAGAUAUAUGGAGGAACACCAGUGGCGAAGGCGGCUCUCUGGUCUGUAACUGACGCUGAGGCUCGAAAGCGUGGGGAGCAAACAGGAUUAGAUACCCUGGUAGUCCACGCCGUAAACGAUGAGUGCUAAGUGUUGGAGGGUUUCCGCCCUUCAGUGCUGCAGCUAACGCAUUAAGCACUCCGCCUGGGGAGUACGACCGCAAGGUUGAAACUCAAAGGAAUUGACGGGGGCCCGCACAAGCGGUGGAGCAUGUGGUUUAAUUCGAAGCAACGCGAAGAACCUUACCAGGUCUUGACAUCCUUUGACCACUCUAGAGAUAGAGCUUCCCCUUCGGGGGCAAAGUGACAGGUGGUGCAUGGUUGUCGUCAGCUCGUGUCGUGAGAUGUUGGGUUAAGUCCCGCAACGAGCGCAACCCUUAUUGUUAGUUGCCAUCAUUUAGUUGGGCACUCUAGCAAGACUGCCGGUGACAAACCGGAGGAAGGUGGGGAUGACGUCAAAUCAUCAUGCCCCUUAUGACCUGGGCUACACACGUGCUACAAUGGGAAGUACAACGAGUCGCGAAGUCGCGAGGCUAAGCUAAUCUCUUAAAGCUUCUCUCAGUUCGGAUUGUAGGCUGCAACUCGCCUACAUGAAGCCGGAAUCGCUAGUAAUCGCGGAUCAGCACGCCGCGGUGAAUACGUUCCCGGGCCUUGUACACACCGCCCGUCACACCACGAGAGUUUGUAACACCCGAAGUCGGUGAGGUAACCUUUUGGAGCCAGCCGC
rnacentral:rRNA from 1 species